rnacentral:rRNA from 1 species
AUACGGAGGGUCCAAGCGUUAUCCGGAUUCAUUGGGUUUAAAGGGUGCGCAGGCGGGCUUGUAAGUCAGUAGUGAAAUACUGCCGCUUAACGGUAGAACUGCCAUUGAUACUGCAAGUCUUGAAUAUGGUUGAGGUAGGCGGAAUGUGUUGUGUAGCGGUGCAAUGCAUAGAUAUGACACAGAACGCCAAUUGCGAAGGCAGCUUACUAAGCCAUUAUUGACGCUGAGGCACGAAAGCGUGGGGAGCGAACAGGAUUAGAUACCCCGGUAGUCC